AAAGAGUUAAUGUACCACAAGGAGCACAAUUAUUUUUAGAAUCCUAAGGAAGCAGGGAUUUGUUUGAAGCUCCAGAUUAAAGGUGGAUCCAAGGUUCUAUGAGGUGAUGGGCAAAGACACCAAAUUAAAAGUUUUCUGAACUUUGAAUUUGUGUGAUUUGUAAUGAAGAGGGCCUGUUUUAUUUUAUUCAUUUUAUUUCCCAGAUCGCUUGUCAGAGCUUAGAUGUCGCACUUUGGGGAUUUAAUGAGUUGACAUUUUCACAGGUUUUAAAAAAGUGGAGUGAAAGUUAUAGACACUUGCAAGAGGAUGAAAAUCCAGAGUCUCCCUUCACCCUUCACCAGCCUCUCUCAUAGGCAAGGGUGGCCAUGUGACCCGUUCUGGCUAAUAAGAUAUAAGGGGAAUUCUACUCAGGUCUUCCAGGAAAGAUAUUUUCCUUUCUAAUUGUGGUGAAGACUGCCAGGAAAUUUCAUCAAAAGAAAGCUCUCAAGUGUCCUUUUUAUUCCUCCUUCCUCCAUCCUGCUGCCUGUAAUGUUGACAUGUUGGCUGGAGCUGCUGUAACCUUCUGGAACCAUGAAGUCACCUUGAGAAAGGAAGCUGUGACUACUAGAAUGACAAGAGAGAAGGAGCCUUGUUCUCUGAAGGGAUCACAGAAACACACUAGGCACAUGCUCACAUAUGGGCUUUAAUUGAUACUCUGCCUGGGAAUUGGUGUGGCAUCAUGGGAAAUAUAAAGGAAGUGAAGUGAUCACCUGUAUGAGAGUGAUGAGAUUAAUAUACUCAAAUAAUCAAAGGAGAAAAU